AUUUCUCUUCAAGAUUAUUUUAAAUCAAAAUCUCUUUCUCAAAGACCAAUGGCCCGAGAAGAUCUUACUCAGGUCUUGGGCAAGCGGGUGGUUUCUGAUGAGGACACUUUAAGCAAGGCUCAGCGUCUUGCGGCAAAGCGCAAUUUAGAAAUCAGUUCUUUUCAGGGCAACAUACUGGCUCAGAUUCUGGAGAUUGUUGCAGAAAGAACAACCUCAACACGAGAUCCUUGUUGUAUGUCGAUCCUUAGAGGUGGUGGCUAUGGAGAUCUUUGCAAGCCAUGGAUGGAGGUCCAAUGCUAGAUUAAAAGGAGCUUGA